UACGAAGGGGGCGAGCGUUGUUCGGAAUUACUGGGCGUAAAGGGCUCGUAGGCGGCCAACUAAGUCAGACGUGAAAUCCCUCGGCUUAACCGGGGAACUGCGUCUGAUACUGGUUGGCUUGAAUCCGGGAGAGGGAUGUGGAAUUCCAGGUGUAGCGGUGAAAUGCGUAGAUAUCUGGAGGAACACCGGUGGCGAAGGCGGCAUCCUGGACCGGUAUUGACGCUGAGGAGCGAAAGCCAGGGGAGCAAAGCGGG
rnacentral:rRNA from 1 species